rnacentral:pre_miRNA from 1 species
AUUUGGUGACUGUCUCGGGACAGAAAAGACAAAGGCGGUAGGAAAGAGCGACACGUCUCUUUAUCUCUUGUUUUGGAAGUAUAAAUUCACUCCAAAACUAUUGGAUAUUUAUUUCUAUGUCUCCGUCUUUCUAACCAAACAUGUUUCUAUUCCCACAAUCUUUGUCUCUUCUGUUCCUGAACGGUAACCGAAC